AAUUUGUGACAAUGGGGGCAACCCUGAUCCAGCCAGCCCGCGUGUGCGAUGAAGGACUUCGGGUUGUAAAGCAUUUUUGGCAGGGAAGAAAAGCCGCGGGUUAAUACCCUGCGGUGCUGACGGUACCUGCAGAAUAAGCACCGGCUAACUACGUGCCAGCAGCCGCGGUAAUACGUAGGGUGCAAGCGUUAAUCGGAAUUACUGGGCGUAAAGCGUGCGCAGGCGGUUCGGCAAGAAGGAUGUGAAAUCCCGGGGCUUAACCUCGGAACUGCAUUCUUAACUGCCGGGCUAGAGUAUGUCAGAGGGGGGUAGAAUUCCGCGUGUAGCAGCGAAAUGCGUAGAGAUGCGGAGGGAUACCGAAGGCGAAGGCAGCCCCCUGGGAUAAUACUGACGCUCAUGCACGAAAGCGUGGGGAGCAAAC
rnacentral:rRNA from 1 species